rnacentral:rRNA from 1 species
GAUGAACGCUGGCGGCGUGCCUAAUACAUGCAAGUCGAGCGAACAGACGAGGAGCUUGCUCCUCUGACGUUAGCGGCGGACGGGUGAGUAACACGUGGAUAACCUACCUAUAAGACUGGGAUAACUUCGGGAAACCGGAGCUAAUACCGGAUAAUAUAUUGCACCGCAUGGUUCAAUAGUGAAAUACGGUUUUGCUGUCACUUAUAGAUGGAUCCGCGCCGCAUUAGCUAGUUGGUAAGGUAACGGCUUACCAAGGCAACGAUGCGUAGCCGACCUGAGAGGGUGAUCGGCCACACUGGAGCUGAGACACGGUCCAGACUCCUACGGGAGGCAGCAGUAGGGAAUCUUCCGCAAUGGGCGAAAGCUUGACGGAGCAACGCCGCGUGAGUGAUGAAGGUCUUCGGAUCGUAAAACUCUGUUAUUAGGGAAGAACAAAUGUGUAAGUAACUAUGCACGUCUUGACGGUACCUAAUCAGAAAGCCACGGCUAACUACGUG